GCCGCGGACUCGGCCGGAAGUGGAGGCGUGGUGUGUGAGGGUAGUGCCUGGCUCGUGGUUGCUGCCCGGUACUUGUCGGAGCUACGUGGAGGGCGGUGGCAGCCGUCCCAAGUCUCGCGCUCAGGCGAUACCUAGACCCGAGGGAGCACAGCUGAGGUGGAGUGAAGAACAAGAGCACAGAGUGGACUUGGGAAGAGAAGAGGAGAGCUAAAGAUGCAGAUGCCUAUAUUUUACUUAUUUAUUCAUGAGAGACACAGAGAGAGAGGCACAGACAUAGGCAGAGGGCAAAGCAGGCUCCAUUCCAUGCAGGGAGCCCGACGUGGGACUCAAUCCCCGGUCUCCAGGACCACACCUUGGGCCAAAGGCAGCGCUAAACCACUGAGCCACCCAGGCUGCCCCUAAGUGCAAUAUUUUGAGACCUACUCAUGCUGCUGAAUGUACAUCUGAUUUAUUCUGAGAGCUGCAUGGAACUCCAUGAAGACACCUUCCACAGUUUACUAGUUUAUUUCUGGACUAGUCUCACCCAGGCUGCCCCCCAAACCUGCCACUUGCCACCAUGAAUGACACUGCAGUAAACAUGUAUGUCACUUUACAAAGUUAUGAGAGAAUUGCUUUGUGAUUUCCUAGGUUUGGAAAUGCUGUCCCAGGAGAUAUGCAUGUAUCUAAUUUCUUACUUUGCCUAAGAAGUGGUAGAUUUGUCCUCAAGAGUGGCUAUAACAGGGGAUCCCUGGGUGGUGCAGCGGUUUGCGCCUGCCUUUGGCCCAGGGCUUGAUCCUGGAGACCCAGGAUCGAAUCCCACGUCGGGUUCCCACAUCGGAGCUGCUUC